rnacentral:rRNA from 1 species
CCUACGGGGGGCAGCAGUGAGGAAUAUUGGUCAAUGGGCGCGAGCCUGAACCAGCCAAGUAGCGUGAAGGAUGACUGCCCUACGGGUUGUAAACUUCUUUUAUAAAGGAAUAAAGUGAGUCACGUGUGCCUUUUUGCAUGUACUUUAUGAAUAAGGACCGGCUAACUCCGUGCCAGCAGCCGCGGUAAUACGGAGGAUCCGGGCGUUAUCCGGAUUUAUUGGGGUUAAAGGGAGCGUAGAUGGGUUGUUAAGUCAGUUGUGAAAGUUUGCGGCUCAACCGUAAAAUUGCAAUUGAUACUGGCAGUCUUGAGUACAGUUGAGGUAGGCGGAAUUCGUGGUGGAGCGGUGAAAUGCUUAGAUAUCACGAAGAACACCGAUUGCGAAGGCAGCUUACUAACCUGCCACUGACAUUGAUGCUCGAAAGUGUGGGUAUCAAACAGGAGUAGAAGCCCGGGUAGUC